UGCCUAAACCCUAUAUUUCUAUGGGGCAUGGCAUAAAAUCCCUCGUAGGUAUCAAGCUCGUCGUCAGAGCACCUGCGAGGGUCAUGUCGGGAAACUGGCAUGGGUGGCCGUAAGGCCAUC
rnacentral:sRNA from 1 species